rnacentral:lncRNA from 1 species
GUAUCAACCCUUUGUAAUAUCGAUCUGAGCGGUUGGUCUGUCAAUACUGCAAUAGUAUGAACUUGAAAGUAAGGUCUGAAUAUCCAGACUGUCACGAUCAAAGCAUAUAUCAAUUUUUAAUCUUUUUAUGUCAGAUCUCUACGUUCCGUAAUAGUUUUCUUGUGUAGUGAUAGGCCUUUGAAUGUCCAUUUUUUUUUCCGAAUAAGAAUCGAGCUAACUGCAUAAGGUGAGAUAAAAAUAUGCAUGUAUAGUUC